CAGUCGCCGCGGGAAUACGUAGGUGGCGAGCGUUGUCCGGAAUUAUUGGGCGUAAAGGGAGCGCAGGCGGGCGAGUAGUCUUUCUUAAAAGUGCGGGGCUCAACCCCGUGAGGGGAGAGAAACUACUCAUCUUGAGUGCAGGAGAGGAAAGCGGAAUUCCUAGUGUAGCGGUGAAAUGCGCAGAUAUUGGGAAGAACACCAGUGGCGAAGGCGGCUUUCUGAACUGUAACUGACGCUGAGGCUCGAAAGCCAGGGGAGCGAACGGGAUUAGAGACCCCUGUAGUCCCUGUCUCUUAUACAC
rnacentral:rRNA from 1 species